rnacentral:lncRNA from 1 species
CAGAAAUUCAUGAUCCUUCUUUUAAGAGCUGCAUGGAUUUGGAGUCUUAUCCUCACUAGAAGAGAGGAAUGCACCCAAUGGAAAAGAGGAGAGCAACCAAAGUCUAAGCUAAGAGCAUAGUUUCAUAAAGUAUUUCCUCUGGCAUUCAUAGUUUUUGUGGACACACCUGAUACCUGAAAAAAACAAUCUGAUUCAAAACAGAUACAAAGCUAUGAGCAUGUAUAUGCAGAGGUAGAUCAACCUGGAAGCUACUACAAUAGUCCAGGUGAGACAUCAAGAGGACAACUGAGGAAAUAAAGUGGACAUGGAGAAGAGGGAGAAGAUUCAACUAUUUAUACAGUUUGAUGAGGCAGGAUACCAUGCUGUGGAGACCCAUUUGGCAAGAAACUAAAGGCAGCCACCAUCCAAAUGCUAGGAAAAAGCUACAGCUUUCUGUCUGAUGGCAAAGGAGACACUGAAUCCAGUCAACAAUAACAGGAGUUUGAUGGAAGAUCCAUUCCCCAGUGGAGCCUCAGAUAACACCUCAAGUCUGGCCAACAUUCUGACUGUAAACUUAUGAGAGACCCUGAAGCAGAGAAUUCAGCUAAUCCAUGCCUGGGUUUCUGACUCUCAAAAAUUCUGAGAUAAUAAAUGCAUGUUGUUUUAUGCCUUUAA